rnacentral:rRNA from 1 species
AACUAAGUAAUUUAAGUUCUAGUGGCGAACGGGUGAGUAAUACAUAAGAAUUUGCCUUUAGGAAAAGGAUAACAGUUGGAAACGACUGCUAAUACUUUAUAAACUCAAAUAGAAAAAAGAGUUAAAAACUAUUCUAAGUUGAAAUUUUUUAAAUUUAGACUGUGCCUAAAGAAAAGCUUAUGGCUGAUUAGCUUGUUGGUAAGGUAAUAGCUUACCAAGGCGAAGAUCAGUAUCUGGUUUGAGAGGAUGAUCAGACACACUGGAACUGAGACACGGUCCAGACUCCUACGGGAGGCAGCAGUAGGGAAUUUUCCGCAAUGGGCGAAAGCCUGACGGAGCGAUACCGCGUGAGGGAUAUGGAGACCGUUUCCGCAGCCUCCGAAGGCCUACGGGUUGUAAACCUCUUUUCUCAUGGAAGAAAAAUGACAGUAAAUGAAGAAUAAGCAUCGGCUAACUCCGUGCCAGCAGCCGCGGUAAGACGGAGGAUGCAAGUGUUAUCCGGAAUCACUGGGCGUAAAGCGUCUGUAGGUGGUUUAUAUAAGUCAAUUGUUAAAGGUUAAUGCUCAACAUUAAAACUGCAGUUGAAACUAUUAAACUUGAGCAUGUUAGAGGUAACGGGAAUUUCCUGUGAAGCGGUGAAAUGCGUUGAUAUUGGAAAGAACACCGAUGGCGAAGGCACGUUACUGGGUCAUAGCUGACAUUGAGAGACGAAAGCUAAGGUAGCAAAUGGGAUUAGAUACCCCAGUAGUCUUAGCUGUAAACGAUGGAUACUAAAUGUUGAAGAAAUCCUUCAGUAUUGUAGUUAACGCGUUAAGUAUCCCGCCUGGGAAGUACGCUCGCAAGAGUAAAACUCAAAGGAAUUGACGGGGGCCUGCACAAGCGGUGGAGCAUGUGGUUUAAUUCGAUGCAACGCGAAGAACCUUACCAGAGUUAGACAUAUUUUCUAUCCUUCUAAUAUUAAUAAAAGAAGGACUCUUUAAAUAUAUUAAAUUAAAUUUUUAUCAUUCUACGUAAAAAAUAAAUGUAUUAUAAUAUAAUUCAUCAGUCACACAGGUGGUGCAUGGCUGUCGUCAGCUCGUGUCGUGAGAUGUUGGGUUAAGUCCCGCAACGAGCGAAACCCUUAUUAUUAGUUGCCUAUACGGAUAUCUGAGAAAACUGCCGAUUAGAAGUCGGAGGAAGGGGGGGAUGAGGUCAAGUCGGCAUGCUUCUUACGUUCUGGGCUACACACGUGCUACAAUGGGUGAGACAAAAAGUUGCAAUAUUGUAAAAUGGAGCUAAUCUGUAAAACUCAUUCAAAGUUCGGAUUGUAGACUGCAACUCGUCUACAUAAAGUUGGAAUCGCUAGUAAUCGCUGGUCAGCUACACAGCGGUGAAUACGUUCCCUGGCCUUGUACACACCGCCCGUCACACCAUGGAAAUUAGUUAUGCUCAAAGUCAUUCCUUUAACCAUUUAUGUUUAUUAGUUUAAAGUAAAUUGGAUCAAGAAUGCC